AAACACUUCGCGAGAAAAGGAAAGAUUUCGCCUCCGUUUAGUGCUAUGCGACCGCAUGGCACAAUUUAGUGCGGUCGUAUGGUUGUUUCGAAUGCUACCAAAAAAUUCCUUGUUUGGUCCUAUGCGACCGCAAGGGUUGGAAGCUGUGCGGUCGCACAACCUUUGAUUUUGGCUCCGUCUUCGGCUGCAAUUAUCAAGCUAAUCCCAAUAGAAUUAGACUUCGGCCCCUUCAUCAAAUUUACUCCUCGACAUGUGAACUUCAUGGUUUUAGACUCCGUGGCUCGAAUACAUAAGUGAACAAUUUUAUUAGCUACUUCAAAGUCUCGACUUGGCUCGGUUCUUGAC
rnacentral:lncRNA from 1 species